AGCGCCUAAUGGAAAUGUUGUUUGUUCCAAUCAAUCUCAGCAGCAGCUAAAACCAUUCAAGUCAAAUUGAUUGCGUCUUAAUGGAGGAUCAUUAUUUUCAUGGAUAUUAUUCAGCUGAAAUCCUUGUGGUAUUUCCUCAUUCUGGGGUUUUACUGAGUCUCUUCUUUUGGUGUUUCUAAAUUCUUCUCCCGUGUAGAUUCUGUUGCCAUUCAAUUUUUCUCCCUGAACUCCAACACUCAUUGACAAAUCACAGGCAUCAACUUCUUUCUCUCGAAUCUCUUUCAGGUCUUUGCACCAUCUGAGAUCAAAGGUAUCGUUGUCGAUCUUACUAGCUAAAGGUAUCAAACCUCCACAUGAGGUCAAGCACCUGUCUAAUGAAAAAUCCAUGGACUGCAGGUUUGUUUGUUUUUGCUGUGGAUAGAAGCCCCCUGAAACAUCUUUCAUCCCUGGGAAUGCAGAAUCUAGGCAAUUGGUGGAUACCGGUUCAGAUAGCUGGACCUUCGCAGCAGCCUCUAAUCCUAUUGUUCCCAAAUUCUGUCUUCCUAGGGUAUCUUGUGCUUUCUCUAGCACUGCUUGUAGGUAUUUCCCUUGAGCUUCUAUUCGAAGCUGCAAAUGUCGUUGUACCUAUCAAUUCAGAAAACUAAAUGUUUUCACUUGUUUAAAUUGCUAUAUUUGCUUCAUUCGUUCUGCUAGAUUAAAUAUGUCAGGCAUCCACAUAUUCUAAUGUUUAAAAUGAAAUGCACGUAUGAGAUAAUUGUUUGGGGUAUGUAUUUCACCUCCAGCUGCUCAUGUAGCUGUCUUUGCACUUCAAUCUGCAGAUGUAUUGCUUCACUUAUUUGUAAACUUCUGAAUAGAGCAUCUCGUAGUUAGAGCAAAUUUUUUUAAAAAUAAGUUAAUGUGUUGAUUAACAAAAAGAGUGAAAAGGCUUUGGCACGCAUACUUAAUUGUUUGAGGUUCAAUGCUUGAAUUACUUGUGUGAGUUCCAUUUGCCUCGGACAUCCUGUCUUCCACCAUUGCAACCAUUCCUACACUAGCAAAUCAUUGUUAUGUUAUCUUUAAAAUAACUGGUGUAAAAAUUUGAAAUAUAUAUAUGUCCGAUGAAAUUUGAGCAUCUUACCAAUUUUGUUUGCCCCGGUAUUUGCUUGUCCAUGUAGAUUUUUGCUGAGUCUGUACUUCUGCCAGCCAAAAAGCAAAAGUUAGUCUUCCAACUUAUAUUGUAAAACAGAGGUCAGAUAGUAGGUUGCUUCUUCGAUCUAUAUGUUCAGUCGAAGUACAUCUACUUAAAAGCUAAAAGAAAAUUAGGAAGAAAAAAGAAAUGAGAAGAAGAAUGAGUAUCCAUAAAUUAUUAGUAGGUUGCCUCUCACCAUGACAUAUCAAGACUGGUCUUUUGCUGUGCAAAUGAAAGGAUGGGAGAUGCAUGUAUCUAAAGAACAUUGUUGAUUAUUUGUUAUGGUAGAACUGCAAAUCCCUCCCUUCAUUUGCCACAACAAUCGGUAACCUUAGAGAUAUAUUGCACAAGGCCUGAACAUAUGCACGAAAAAAGAAAAGAAAAGAAAGUAGAUGGCCUUAACUCUAAUAUGAAGAGGCUUACUAGUGUAAUUAUGGGUAAACGUUUACCUGAAGAUGACUCUUUAAAUGGUAUAAGGUAAGUCUUUGAAUCCCCAUUAGUUUCAAAACCGAUUUUGGUGUAGCCUCUGCAGUAGAAUAAUAGACACUUCAAUUAGGUAAAUAAUUAGUUAAUUUUUGCAUGGUGGUAUUGAACAUUAACAUAGUUUGACUCACUGUCUGCUCCACCGAGAUGAUUAACUGCUUCAAUGAACCGUUCAUGAAGGUCUGGCGUCCAUUUCAAUCUAGGCUUUGCAUCAGUUGAAAGGAUAAGUCCAGAAUCUCCUGUAGCAUUCCCACCUUGUAGGAAUAGAACUCUUUCUGGAGUCAUUGGCGUUCUUGAGGAAGGUUGGAUAUUAUUUGCUUGAUGAUGAUACAUUUUGUCUUCAAAAUAAUUGCCUUAUGAUUAGCUUCAUGGUUGUAGCACAAUAAUAUGAUCCUACGAAUGAAUAGUUAUGGUUUUACCUGCAAGUUGUCACGUCUCUUGAUUAGUUCUGAUACUUGGUAAAAAAGCUGUCUUCUACAGCUCUCAUCUAUCUCCUCUCUUAUCUGACCAAGUCUCACAAACCAGGGGUGUGCUCAAGCACGCCUUAUAAGGCAAAUGGAAAAAGGACUGUGGGGGAUGGGAGAUGGAGUCUUACUGAGGCAUAGAAUCUUGGGCAGACCCAAUCCAAUCUUCACAGCAAUUCAGAAAGAGAUCUUGUCCUUACAGUUCUGAGAAUCUGUGGGACCUAUCCCAUAACUCCAUUUUCCGUUCUCAACCAGCUCUAUCAAUCUAAAUUAUAUAACUUCCUGCAACACUUAGCAUCCCGCCAGACUUUUCUGUGCAUUCAUAUUCGUCAUAUGGUAAAGUUAGGGAAUCUUAUUCUCGAAUUAAAGAGUAAAAUUUUCUGACCCAUAUUUGGGGAAUCCACUAUCUCAGUUGUCUUAAUAUCUUCAAGCCAUCUUCUCUUCCCAUAUAUGAUCCUUAAAAAACCAAUUACAUUGAUCCUUAAUUGGACUCACAGUUAUUUUUUCUUGUCGAUGUACCUUUCAAAGACUCAUUUGCUUUGCAAAUAUAGAUCAGUUUUUAAGUCAUCUUAAUUACAAGGUGCAGACAUACUGAAAAGACAAGAAAAUUUCAACUGGUUUAACUUGGAGAAUGUAGAAGAAGAUUCUGUAGGCUGGAACAUCUAGAACUUGGAAUUGCGCACAUACAAGAGAGAGAUUAAAAAAAAUGAAAGAUGCCCCUCCUUAGAAUUGUCUGAAGGGCCAAUAAUGGAAUAAGGAAUACAUUCAUUUUUGUCUCCUUCCAUAAGUUUGGUACGUAUUUAGACUAGACAGUAUUUAGAUUGAUUAAAAGAGUGCCCCAAUUAAAUAUUUUCUAUUCUUCAAUUGGUAUAAAGAAGCCAGCCUCAUGCUGAAGCUGAUUGGACCCUUACAGCAAGAAAAAGAUGGAUUGUACUUGCUCCAUACUUGCAUUUCAUGGAAAGUAUGACACUUCGUGGACUGGGGAGGACCACUUGCGUUUCCCUUGACUUGAGUCUCGGUUGGCUUUGCAGAUUCUCUGGUAUGAAUCUACACAUCCUUCUUGUUGUCUUAAUUCUUUUAAUAGUGGAUUAAAGCUAGCUUGUUAAUAGCUAUGCAUGCCUCUGUAUGACAUACAAAUAGUCAAAAUAGAUGAUAUGCUGUACACGAUUAUACAAGUUUGCAUGAACAUGCAUAAUUCUUACUUCACAAUAAUUUGUGUUUAGAGACUGUUUCUACAUGUUAAAGGAUUACUCGUGCAUUCUGAAAAUGCAACUUUGAACAAAUAAGAAAUCUGAUUUCCGAUGCCAUUUUAAGGAGUGUUUUUUUAGCGUCUACAACAAGCAUUUCAAGAUUACAAAAGAAGCUAUACGACAACUUUAAUUUGUUCUUUCAUCACCCUUGUCUUUUUCUUUAUGUGAUUUUAGCUAUAUACAUUUUAGUGUGAACAUUAUGAAUUUAAUUAUGUGCCUUGAAUAAAGUAUCAUCACCUAACUAAUUUCAACUUACAACUAAUGUUUUUAGAUAGAUCAAUUUGUUCUGAUAUAUCAGGAUAUAUAUUUUAUGUAGUUUUGGGAAUAUGUGGGAGGCUUUAGGUAAAGUGUACGUUAAAGAAAUUCCUUAAUAGUUUGCUGGCAUGUGGAUAGGAAUAAAUUCCAGUAAGGGGAAUAAUUUGGAAAUUAGGAUCCUCUCCAUUUCAUGUGUGCUGUAAAAUAGCUCCUGUUAUAGCCUAUAUCCCAUAUUCUUCAAUCUUAUAGCUCCUGUUAAAUUAUGGCAUUAUAGCCAAACCAUAAGUAGAGUUGCAUGUUGCUAUAAUUUUUAGUUCACGUCUUAUCUUUCCAACAACUUAAUGUUGGAAAUAUCCGAUCCAUAUAUGCUCAUCUGAAACUGCAUAUUGACCCAAAAGGUUAACCCUAUGGUCCAUUAGAGCAUAUAUAUCCUCAAUUCAAUCUUUCUCCUUGUAUUUCGAUGCGGGACUUUACUAUGCGUACCUAACACUUAAUGUAAAGUAUUAAGUAGUUAUCUUUUUAAUGCUUCCAUCAAGUCUUGACUGCAAUUCACUUUCUCUUGUAUUUGUGUGUGGGCAUUUAUUCAUUUAUAUGCUAAAAGGGGAGUAUUUAGCUUUAAGCAAAUGUUGUGUGAUUUUCAAUAGAUGGAAACAUAGGUUGUAUUGUACUUAGACUCGUGUUAAUAUUUUGUUUUCUUUUCUGAAAGGAACAACAAAUCGCAUUUUAGUAGUAUC
rnacentral:lncRNA from 1 species